GGCACUUUGGCGGAGUGGUUAACGCGAUGCCCUGCUAGUAUACCCCUGGUAGUCCGCCCGGACUAUACAAGGGUUCUAUCGUGAGGCAUUUCCUUCGGGAGCGCAGGUUCGAAUCCUGCAGGUGUCG